rnacentral:rRNA from 1 species
AUUGAACGCUGGCGGCAGGCCUAACACAUGCAAGUCGAACGAGUGGCGGACGGGUGAGUAAUUUCUGGGAAACUGCCUGAUGGAGGGGGAUAACUACUGGAAACGGUAGCUAAUACCGCAUACCAUCGGAUGUGCCCAGAUGGGAUUAGCUAGUAGGUGGGGUAAAGGCGGACCAAGGCGACGCUCCCUAGCUGGUCUGAGAGGAUGACCGGCCAAACUGGAACUGAGACACGGUCCAGACUCCUACGUGAGGCAGCAGUGGGGAAUAUUGCACAAUGGGCGCAAGCCUGAUGCAGCCAUGCCGCGUGUAUGAAGAAGGCCUUCGGGUUGUAAAGUACUUUCAGCGGGGCGGCGGUACCCGCAGAAGAAGCACCGGCUAACUCCGUGCCAGCAGCCGCGGUAAUUC